GUCUAUGGCUAUGCCACCCUGAACAUGCCCAAUCCUGUCUGAUCUCAGAAGCUAAGCAGGGUCAGGCCUGGUUAGUACUUGGAUGGGAGACCACCUAAGAAGACAGGGUUCUGUAGGCA
rnacentral:rRNA from 1 species